UGAGGCCGAUGAUGAUGUUUAUUGUCUUUCUUUGCCUACAUUGUCUGACUAGUUAUUAAUCUGUGAUUACAUAACACAAACUUCUGAGGCCUCA
rfam:Punica granatum cultivar Dabenzi scaffold70, whole genome shotgun sequence.